CAGGCCUUUCAGAAUAAAAAAUAUGCAAUAACAAUCACCGCUCAAAAUGCAGAGUUAUCGUUGUCUGCAUCUCAACAGAUGACUCCUCACGAUUGGGAUCUUCUGACCAAAGCUAUUGCGGUACUGAAGCCAUUCUACAUCACCACAAAAGCGGCGGAGGGGGACAUGGUUUCUGUUUCGGAGGUUAUCCCAAAUAUAAAGAAACUGGAUUACGCUAUCAGGAGCAUAUCCUCAAGUGGAGUCGGAACUCUGAAACCCACGCUGCUUUCCGAAAUGUAAAACCAAGAGACUGAAGAAAUCCAAAGAUAGUGCAGCGAUCUAAAGAGAAUGAGUUAGAAGACCUUCGGAAUCUGAAAGUGGAGUCGCUCUACCUUGACGGGAGAAAAGAUGCAGCAUUGUGAUGAGCUUAGGAUCGACAUUAGACAACUCGCCACUAAGAUCUUGUGGCUGUUACGCCACUAACGUCAACACCGGACGUCACAAUGGGAUUAUAGCCCUCUUAGAGAAGAAUUUUGGAUGGGAAUUGCAAAGAUUUAUUUGGUGCCUUCACAGGAUAGACCUGCCAUUAAAAAAUUUAAGGGGUUCUGAGUCCUGAACUGUCGAGAGAACGAAUUGGUCCUCUCAGCCACGCAAGGUGGAUUAUAAUGCAGUAG